GGGGGCUUGGGAGGAACGCGUUCGGGGGCUGGGGAGGAGCGCGUUCGGGCGCCUCUCCCUGGUCCUGGGCGCCACGCUGUGGGGCUCGGUGGUUCAGAGCCACACCUGACACCCUCACGUCCCAAACUCACACAGUCGCACCGACAAAGCCACAGGAAGGAGCGCGCAGCUGAAGUGGUGCUAUCUCAGCUCACUACAACCUCCGCCUCCCGGGUUCAAGCGAUCCUCCUGGCUCAGUCUCCAGAACAGCUGGGACUACAGGCACACACCACUGUGCUCAGACCCCACCUUGUCUGCCGGGGCCCAACCUGGGGCCUAGCCUCCCAUCACUGGGACUGCUGUUGGCUGGAGAGACACACCCACUCGUGAUCAGCGGACGUGGGCACGGAAGAGAGUGCACGUGCGUGUGUGCGCACGCGUGUCUGUGUGGGUGGGUGUCCACGCACACGUAUCUAAGGGGUUACCCAGCAUAUACCCUGAGCAGAUUUUCAACACCACCCCUCUUCUAUAAGACAAAAAUUAUUGUCAGUAAUAAUCAUGCAAUGAAUAACAAUAAAUGGCAGGCAGCCAAAUUUUUUUAUUGAAUUUUCUAUAUGGACUCAUGCCAUUUCAAAUAUAAAUAAAGAAAUAAUCAUUAUAGUACA
rnacentral:lncRNA from 13 species